rnacentral:rRNA from 1 species
GACGAACCGUGCGAACGUUGUUCGGAUUCACUGGGCGUAAAGGGCGCGUAGGCGGGAUGGCAAGUCGGUCGUGAAAUCCUUCGGCUCAACCGAAGAACGUCGGCCGAUACUGCCGUUCUUGAGGGAUGCAGAGGAGAUUGGAAUUCCCGGUGUAGCGGUGAAAUGUGUAGAGAUCGGGAGGAACACCGGUGGCGAAGGCGGGUCUCUGGGCAUCUCCUGACGCUGAGGCGCGAAAGCGUGGGGAGCAAACGGG